rnacentral:rRNA from 1 species
UCCUACGGGUGGCUGCAGUGGGGAAUCUUGGACAAUGGGCGCAAGCCUGAUCCAGCCAUGCCGCGUGGAUGAUGAAGGCCCUAGGGUUGUAAAAUCCUUUCGUUGGGGACGAUAAUGACGGUACCCAAAGAAGAAGCUCCGGCUAACUUCGUGCCAGCAGCCGCGGUAAUACGAAGGGGGCUAGCGUUGUUUGGAUUUACUGGGCGUAAAGCGCGUGUAGGCGGGUCGUUAAGUUGGGGGUGAAAUCCCGGAGCUCAACUCCGGAACUGCCUCCAAAACUGGCGACCUGGAGCAAGAUAGAGGCGAGUGGAAUUCCGAGUGUAGAGGUGAAAUUCGUAGAUAUUCGGAGGAACACCAGUGGCGAAGGCGACUCGCUGGAUCUUUGCUGACGCUGAGACGCGAAAGCGUGGGGAGCAAACAGGAUUAGAUACCCCAGUAGUCU